CGUCUUGUAGCUGUGGGUUACGUAAACCUAUAUGAAUGGGUGACAACGAAAGGACAAGGCUUCAUUAAGUAGGAGGACCACGUUUUAAAAAGGCAACAACUUUGCCCCAGACAAAUAGAAUGAUUGACUAUGGGACAAGAUGGACAAACUAAAAUGGGAGAGAAAUCAAUAAUGGAUUACUAAAACAUGGGUGUAACUCAGAGAAUCGGUUAUAAGAAACAAAGAUAUUUCUUAUUUUACGGGAAUCACCGAACAAUGUUAAAUCAGUGACAAAAACAAGAGACAAACAAACCCAUUCAUUUACUUCACCCUGGGGCUGCUUUAGAUUUAGGCCUUUGAUGUGGUUUACGCAGCCUCACACGUAUAGUAUACGGAGACAGUGGCAGGCAUGAAGGGUUCUGGAGCUGGACCCACAAUAUCUUCAAGUUCUGAAAGCUGAGAAGUACAAUGUCAAGGGACUACAUCAGGUGCAGAACCCUCAUGAUCCAAUCUCCUAUUAAGGGCCCCACUUCUCAACACUGCCAUACUGUGGACCAAGUUUCAACAUGAGUUUUGGAGGGGACAUUCAAACCACAGCAAUCUAGAACAAUGAAAGGAUAACCCCUCCCGCCAUUCUUUAUCACAUCAUACUACAAAUCCUUCCUAAUGCAAUAAAGUACAUAGAAUGGAAAGGAAAAUAUAAAACUGUCUUU